CAGGGGGUAGUUUAAUUAGAAUGCCAGCUUUGGGAGUUGGUGAUGAAGGUUUGAUUCCUUUCCCCUUGA
rnacentral:tRNA from 1 species